AGGUGUACCUACAUGUAUGCAUGGCUUGUUAUGUCUUAUCUCAUUGGCUAUUGGUUUUCACAUUUUCCAAAAGUCUGAGAUCUGAUUGGUUGAAUGAUUUCAUCCAUAAUUUUAACCUGUAAUUUCAUUGGCCUGUAGCUUUUGUUUGUUGAUUCUUUCUGUAGCUGGACCACAGGGAGCUAUCCCAGGUGGAGUUGUCCAAGAAGCACAGCAUUAUGGGAUCUCUGUACAGCUCUCACCAGACAGACAGUGCAAUGACCCUUGACCUCUCUUUAGAAAUCAACCACAAGUUACAGGCUGUUCUAGAAGACACCCUACUAAAGAAUAUCACUCUGAAGGAGAGCUUGGAUACAUUAGGAGGAGAAAUAGCCAGGCUUUCACAGGAGAACAGACAGCUUCAGUUACAAAUACAGGAAAAAGCCAAGAAAAGAUGACACUAGAAAACCCACCAAGGGGGUGUAAAGUAACAGCUCCAAACAGAAUCAUUUCGAGAGGGAGUGUGUUUGCUAGUCGGAAUUGACAGUCCCAGAUAUCCUGGAUGUGUAUCCCUAUGUUUAGAUGAGUGUUUAGCUUAGAGAAACUGUGACGUUGAGUAGGACACUUUGAAGUGGAUAAGCUCCUAGCUAUAAAUGGCUGUCAGAUGUGCCAGACUUGCUUCAAUUAGUGAUGAAUACUUUAUGUAUUGUGAUGAAUUGGGUUAAUUUAUCUAUGAACUGUGAUGAAUGGUUGUUCACAAUCCCAGUGCUCAGUAAUGUGACUAAAAUUAUUGUAAUAAACAUUCCAAAUUAAGAUAACCAUGGUUAUGGAUAAACAGGGAACAUCAAUUGAUUAUAUUCAAUUUUAUUUGACACUGUUGCUUUACUCAGUGCCUCAUCUUUUAAUGUGAUUUAAAACAAAAACGGUAUUGUAUAAUGUAUAUUAAGAACAUAUGUACAUGUCCAUCGAUCAGUAUAUAUAAACAUUUAUCAGUCUUGAAUAUAUACAUUUAUAUACAUCACAUCUUAAUUUCUGGAUGUACAUUAUUUAUGGUAAAACUAAAAGGUAUGCAAAGUCUGCAUCAAAGAAAACCAUAUUGUAGAAUGUAUCAGAUCCAUAGAAAUUAAUGUGGAAUAUUUUAAGAGAUUGGGGUUUUGAAUUUCAAGGUUCUUAUCAUAACUGUUCACAUUAU